GCAUUCGUGGUGUAGUGGUCAGCACACUCGGCGCCUAUUCAAGAGGUCUGUGGUUCGAGUCCAGGCGAGGGCA
rnacentral:tRNA from 1 species